UAAAUUUACCUCUACAGUGUGAUUUCAUUAUGAAGUCAGAUGGAAUGAGGAGUGUGUAAAUCCAGAAUCAGAAUCCCAGCGACGAAGCUUUUCUUGCUCUGUUACCUUGGAAAAUGCUUUGAACCAGACCAGAUAAGAAAAGUAAAAGUCUGGAGUGUAAUCCUUCCAAUUGUCUUUUGGCUUCUCUUCUACUUCUACAAAAAGUUCAACAAGUAAG
rnacentral:lncRNA from 10 species